AUACGGAGGGUGCGAGCGUUAAUCGGAAUUACUGGGCGUAAAGCGCGCGUAGGCGGUUUGUUAAGUCGGAUGUGAAAGCCCUGGGCUCAACCUGGGAACUGCAUUCGAUACUGUCAGACUAGAGUAUGGUAGAGGUAAGUGGAAUUCCUGGUGUAGCGGUGAAAUGCGUAGAUAUCAGGAGGAACAUCAGUGGCGAAGGCGGCUUACUGGAUCAAUACUGACGCUGAGGUGCGAAAGCGUGGGGAGCAAACAGAAUUAGAAACCCGGGUAGUCC
rnacentral:rRNA from 1 species